ensembl:lncRNA
GUGCCUCAUAUAAACUGCCUCAUUUCUCUAAACUUCAAAUUUUUAUAAAUGGGAAAUAACAUUUUUUUAAUUUACAUAAUUAUAGGACAACAAACAGGUUAAUCUUGGCUGGAAGGCAUUUGGUCAUUAGAACAGAGGAAAUUCAAUAAUCUGAUAUUUUGAAUUGUUUUUGUAACUGAUACAAAGCGGUUUUAAAUAUGUGGUUAAUGAUGCAAGACUUUAAUGCCUGUAUAAUUAAGAAAUGAUUUUUAUAUUUGCAUUUGGCAAAUACAAACUAACUCAUGAAUACAUACGUAAUAACUUAAUAACAGAGUAAUGAUCCUUGUAUGUGUCCAAAUCCACUUAAGACCCAGAGCCCCACCUCCCAAUGAAGACACAUUUAGUACUCCCUGGUUUUUAUUUUGAAACGUUGCUAAUCCUCAGCUUGUCCUCACUGAUGUGAGUACUGGUGAUCUUACUGCUUUCAUUUGAAGCAGAGUGACCACGCCAGGGCCAUUUCUGAAGCCACUGAUAAUGGCUAACAAAAAACUCUCGGCAACGAAUGAGUCUCUGCCCACCAAAGCUACUGAUCCUGCUCCAGCGUAUGGUCAAUAAAGCCCAUUGUGUUCUGGAACUGAUUCUUGGAGGGAAGUUUUCCUGUACAAGCUCUUUUCUUGUCUGCCACCAUGUGAGACAUGCUUUGCACCUUCUGCCAUGAUGGUGAGACCUCCCAAGCCACAAGGAACUGUACUCCUUUCAUCUCCCUUUUACAGACGAUGAAGACAAGGCUCAGAGAAACGGAGCAGCUAGAUGAGGUCACACAGCAAAUAAGCGGUGGAGUCAGGAUUUGAAUCCAGACAGCCUGCCUUGUGUUUGUACUUUAACAAUUGCCAAACUGCUGUUUAUAGAGAUGGUCUCACAUGUUAUUCUACAAGUUUAAAGUUUUGCCUCUCUCAUUAAAGUCUCUAAUCUGGACUCUGUUUAUGAUGUGAGAUACUUUAAUUAAUCCUACUCUCCUUUAGCCCGUGAAAAGCUCCUAAUUUGAGUAGCGCUUGUUAUAACACA